rnacentral:rRNA from 1 species
ACUCAAAUGAAUUGACGGGGGCCCGCACAAGCGGUGGAGCAUGUGGUUUAAUUCGACGCAACGCGAAGAACCUUACCUGGGCUUGACAUCUGGGGGAUCCCUCAGAAAUGAGGGAGUGCCUAGCAAUAGGAGCCCCAAGACAGGUGCUGCAUGGCUGUCGUCAGCUCGUGUCGUGAGAUGUUGGGUUAAGUCCCGCAACGAGCGCAACCCUCGCCCUUAUUUGCCAACGGGUCAUGCCGGGAACUAUAAGGGAACUGCCAGCGAUAAGUUGGAGGAAGGUGAGGAUGACGUCAAGUCCUCAUGGCCUUUAUGCCCAGGGCUACACACGUGCUACAAUGGCCGACACAAAGGGCUGCGAAACCGCAAGUUGGAGCAAAUCCCAUAAAAUCGGUCACAGUUCGGAUUGGAGUCUGCAACUCGACUCCAUGAAGCUGGAAUCGCUAGUAAUCGUGGAUCAGCAUGCCACGGUGAAUACGUUCCCGGGCCUUGUACACACCGCCCGU